rnacentral:rRNA from 1 species
UACGUAGGUGGCAAGCGUUGUCCGGAAUCACUGGGCGUAAAGGGCGCGUAGGCGGCUCAUGAAGGCUGUGGUGAAAGUCCGGGGCUCAACCUCGGAUCGGCCGUGGCGACUCGUGGGCUGGAGCACUGUAGAGGCGGGUGGAAUUCCGGGUGUAGCGGUGGAAUGCGUAGAGAUCCGGAAGAACACCAGUGGCGAAGGCGGCCCGCUGGGCAGUGG